CCUGCCCAUUGAAUUUUUAAAAGGCCGCGGUAUUUUGACUGUGCAAAGGUAGCAUAAUAAUUAGUUUUUUAAUUGAAAACUAGAAUGAAAGGUUGAACAAAGAAAAAUCUGUCUUUAAUUUUUUUUUUGAAAUUUACUUUUAAGUGAAAAGGCUUAAAUUAAUUUAAGGGACGAUAAGACCCUAUAAAUCUUUACAUUUAUUUAAUAUUUUAUAAUUAAGUUGUAAAUUUAUUAUUAUAUUAAUAAUAUGUUAUAUUGGGGUGAUAAUGAUAUAAUAAAAAACUGUUUUAAUAAAUAAACAUAUAUAAUUGAAAUUUAAAAGAUCCUUUAUAAAGAUUAAAAGUUUAAGUUACUUUAGGGAUAACAGCGUAAUUUUUUUUAAGAGUUCUUAUCGAAAAAAAAGUUUGCGACCUCGAUGUUGAAUUAAAAUUUCUUUAUAAUGCAGAAGUUAUAAAAG
rnacentral:rRNA from 1 species